GGCGCGCAAAUUACCCAAUCCCGACUCGGGGAGGUAGUGACAAUAAAUACUGAUACAGGGCUCUUUUGGGUCUUGUAAUUGGAAUGAGUACAAUUUAAAUCCCUUAACGAGGAACAAUUGGAGGGCAAGUCUGGUGCCAGCAGCCGCGGUAAUUCCAGCUCCAAUAGCGUAUAUUAAAGUUGUUGUGGUUAAAAAGCUCGUAGUUGAACCUUGGGCCUGGCUGGCCGGUCCGCCUCACCGCGUGUACUGGUCCGGCCGGGCCUUUCCCUCUGUGGAACCCCAUGCCCUUCACUGGGUGUGGCGGGGAAACAGGACUUUUACUUUGAAAAAAUUAGAGUGCUCCAGGCAGGCCUAUGCUCGAAUACAUUAGCAUGGAAUAAUAAAAUAGGACGUGUGGUUCUAUUUUGUUGGUUUCUAGGACCGCCGUAAUGAUUAAUAGGGACAGUCGGGGGCAUCAGUAUUCAAUUGUCAGAGGUGAAAUUCUUGGAUUUAUUGAAGACUAACUACUGCGAAAGCAUUUGCCAAGGAUGUUUUCAUUAAUCAGGAACGAAAGUUAGGGGAUCGAAGACGAUCAGAUACCGUCGUAGUCUUAACCAUAAACUAUGCCGACUAGGGAUCGGACGAUGUUAUUAUUUGACUCGUUCGGCACCUUACGAGAAAUCAAAGUGCUUGGGCUCCAGGGGGAGUAUG
rnacentral:rRNA from 1 species